GAUGAACGCUGGCGGCGUGCCUAAUACAUGCAAGUCGAGCGAACAGACGAGGAGCUUGCUCCUCUGACGUUAGCGGCGGACGGGUGAGUAACACGUGGAUAACCUACCUAUAAGACUGGGAUAACUUCGGGAAACCGGAGCUAAUACCGGAUAAUAUAUUGAACCGCAUGGUUCAAUAGUGAAAGACGGUUUUGCUGUCACUUAUAGAUGGAUCCGCGCCGCAUUAGCUAGUUGGUAAGGUAAUGGCUUACCAAGGCAACGAUGCGUAGCCGACCUGAGAGGGUGAUCGGCCACACUGGAACUGAGACACGGUACAGAAUCCUACGGGAGGCAGCAGUAGGGAAUCUUCCGCAAUGGGCGAAAGCCUGACGGAGCAACGCCGCGUGAGUGAUGAAGGUCUUCGGAUCGUAAAACUCUGUUAUUAGGGAAGAACAAAUGUGUAAGUAACGAUGCACGUCUUGACGGUACCUAAUCAGAAAGCCACGGCUAACUACGU
rnacentral:rRNA from 1 species